AAGUGCUAGGAUUACAGGCGUGAGUCACCGUGCCUGGCCCCCAUGACCUUUUCGAAGUCCCCUAGUAUGCCUUUACACCCAUUUCUAGAAUGAUUCCCAACAUUCCUUCAUUUAUUCCUUUAUUUAUUGAAUAAAUAAUUAUUAAAUGCUUGUCAUGUAUGUUCCAGGCUUUGCUCUAGUAAUUUCGGAUAUAUCAAUGAACAAAGCAGGAAAGAAAAAAAAAAAAGGCAAAAUCUCUGCCUUCCGGGAGCUCACAUUCCCACAGGAGUCACAGGAAACAGCCAAUGACCAGUAAGCAUCACAAAGAAGUCAUGCCAAAGAACCAGACAAAUAGCUGGAAGGAAGAGGGGAACUCCUUUGUGACGCCAAAUGGGCCAAAGGGUCGCUGGGAAAACUAAGCCUUACUGUCCAUCUUGCCUUCAGGAUAAUGUGAAAUAUGGCCUAAUUUUUGAAGUUUUUUUCUUAGAAAUUUUACUGAAUCCAAAAUAAAACAAGAAGAUCAUGAGUCCAGAAUUCUCUUUUCUCAACACUAGAUGGCAGUAGAGUUAAAGAAAAAAAUCCCAGCAGUUCUUUGUACAGGGAUUUGGUGAUUUUUCCCAUAAAGCUGCGAUGAGGAUGAACUCAGAGCAAAAUCUAUGGGGAGUUUUAUACCUGGUAUACUAUUUGUAGCCUUCGUAGAGGGUUCUCCAUUCUAGUCACACCGAUUUCCUCUCUGCUGCAGACAUUGGACACUGGCCUAGUGUUCCAGAAGCUCUGAGUUCAGAGUCCUCAUGUACUAAUGCCAGCAACAGUCAGUUUCACAGUGCCUCUGGCCAGCUGCACUCUUAUGCAACUCAACAAUUUCUCACCUUUUCUCCUUUUAAAAACAAUAUAAGCAACAAAACCACCCAGCUCCCACUGCUGCAUAACCCAGAAGUAUUGGAAAGAUCACUUCAUACAAUUCUUGAGGCAAUCCUGCAGGAUCAAGCAAUUAGGUCCUUGGAGUGGUGGCCAGCUCAUCAAAGCCUCUUUGUACUGGUGCUUCCCCUGAUCCUGUUUUGUUCCCUUGUCCCUCUUUCCUGCUCCUAGCUAGGAUCACACUCCCCAAUAAAGUUUUUGAACAAUG
rnacentral:lncRNA from 1 species